rnacentral:lncRNA from 10 species
GCUCCAAGCUUGAUAUAGAAGACUAUCAUAUGAACCAGAAAGGGUAACUGAAACCAAAGAAAUGACUCCAGUAUCAAGCUAAAGACAUGCCUUAAAGGAUGAGGAGGAGCAGAAAUCUUACCAGCAAGGCAAGAAAGAAGCCGUACGUGAACAGCCUCUGCUUUAGGCCCAGAAGGAAAAGAAGCUUACAGGAGACAAUCAGUCUUACACUCUUCCAUGGUCACAAACAAGAGGUCCCUGGAUCUACAGGUCAUCUUGCCCCUGAAAUGGCCCUGGAAAGCUAUGGCUGAAGAAUGGAGGAAAAGAUGACUUUCUCUGUUUCUUCAGACCAGGCAUCAACUGGGAUGUUGGGAUGUUGAUAAAAGGACAUCUCAUCCUUUGUUUUCUGCCUAUGCUUUCACCAUACCCAUUCCCAUGUCUGGUCAUCACAGCAUCCUUCACAGCCCUUAGCUGAAUCAUGUUGAGUACAGGAUGGUGUGAAUAUCAUGGUUUGAAUGCAACCAUGGUCUGUCAGUGUGGCUUGUUUUUUGCAGCCCACUUAUAUCUAGGCCCACAUGCAAUAUGACUUUGCAACUCAUCCCAUCAGAGGAUGGAAACUAUUUCUUCACCCCCUUGAACCUGGGCUGGCUUUGUAAUUUGUUUUGGCCAAUAGAAUGUGGUGGAAGUGAUGGUGUUACCAGAAA